GCUAAGAGGGAGAACUGGCUUUUUAUCAAAGGGCUGCCACAGAAAACAAGAAACAUGAGCACGGCAUUAGGGAAGUGAAGCCUGUGGGUAAUUUGUGGUGGAAAGGGGUUGGAAGAGAAAGGACUGUUUGAUGGGGUGCCUACUGUAUUGAGCUCCAGGCAGCAAAGGUAUUACGAAAGCCAUCAAGUUGGAGGACCGGGAAAGGAAAGUGGAUCUGGGCAGCUUUCCCAGAGGAGCAAGUAUUUCACCUGUGGCAUAGCUGAUACCUCUUGCUACAUGGCAAGAGCCCCCGCGGAACUGCUGUGGCUUGCAAAUGAAUCUCCUCCGGGACGAGGAGGGGGAACCAGAAGAUACCUUGCAUGCUGAAGCUCUGCUCGUUCUAUGACUUGGGUGCUCUUUCUGAAAAACCAGGUUGGCCUUCUCAGUCUAUGAAGAAAAGGAGGGUGGCAAAAGUACCCUGCACAGACAAAGCUGCUGAAUGAAGGAAGAGAUGAUAACGCCCUCUUUGGCACCCAGCUCUUUCUGGGAGGUACAUUCUCACCCGGUUGGAAGGGAAUGAAGACUGUCUCAUCUGUCAGACCUCUGGACAUAGCCCUGUGGCACAAAGACAUGUGUCUUUAGGCAAAAUUAGGCAGCAUGUGAAUUUGAUUUCUGUUCCUAGUAUAAAGGGGCUGUGACUAAUUUUA